UUGAUCAUCAUCUGUAGUUCAUGGCGCAUUGCUCAGAGUAUAAGAGAGAAACAAUAUCUUUUAUGAAUAGUCAAGACUUGCUCUUCGAACCCAUAUGAUCAUAAUGUAAUAUUUUUUCACUGUUGUUGGAUCGAUAAGCCUAGUUGAUUGUCUUAAGACUUCAUCACAAAUUCAUGAAAAUUUCGUGAACAUUACUUAUUACUCAUCGUGUUGCCUGGGUUGAAGUGUAAUACAACAAAGACCAAUCGUCCGAGUCUAUUACGGUUAUUGAUAGACGCGCAAGCUUAAUUUUAAAAUAAGCGCUCUGUAUCGAGUUAGGGACAAAGACAGGGAAAAUUGAUCAAUACUCCUCCUGUCUUUGUUUGCCUUUUUCUGGUUUCGAAGACAAACCUUUGUUCUGGUUCAUUUGUAUUUCUGAUUUUCCUUUGCUUCAAGUUUAAGUUCAUUUUGACAUAAUUUUGAAUUUUGUAGUUCAUUUAUUUUCCAACACUUCAAAUAACAUUUUCAACUCAUUUAUAGAUAAUUAUAUUUCUUGAAAAUGGCAGAUGCAAUGGAAGAUACUGAACCUCGUGAAGACCGAGUUACUAUCAAAGUCAAGAUUGGAGGCGAAGGUUAUCAUGAUAUUGUAAUUGAUUGGUCAGACGGUAAAGAUACAAGUCAAAUUUUAAUCGACCAACUUUCAUUGUUAACAGGAAUACCAUGCGAAAACAUAGACUGCGUCAUUGUCAAUUGUGUUCCAGGCCACGUUUAUAUCUCCA